rnacentral:misc_RNA from 1 species
GAAUAAUCCAACAAUCCAAUAUUCUAACAGGCAACUGAAAUUACUUUCCAAUAAAUGUGAAGUGCAUCAUAACACUAUCAAGAUUUAGAGUUCAUCGUGAUUUCAAGCCAAAAGAAUUAAAACAACUAUGAGCAUACAAAAUAAUUUCAUUGCAUUUAACUCGCUUGGGUUCUGAUUUGCUUGAUGAGACAUCCAACAUACAUAAUUUGAUCACCCUUGCUUGACUCCCCAACUUUUAUGGAGCAUUAUUUACAGUUGUGUCCAAUUUAUGGAUGUUCUACUAAACAAUAUGUAAAUGCUGUGUCUCAUUGCCAUUAUAUCCAUCUUUCAUCAACUUUAAUUCACAUUAAAUCUUAGAUUGCUGAUGCUGAUCAUGUGGUUUCUGUGAUUGCUGUUGCUUCCUUCCUCAUUUUGGCGAGCUUUACUCCUGUUCAUCUCAGCAUACAUUUCCUCAAUCAUCGGUUUCCAUAGUCGAACUCGAGCAUUAAUGAACCAGUUCGAAACCUGGCUUCUGGUCAGUCCACUUUUUACAGCAAGCAAAUGCUUCUCGGCAUCUUUAGGGUAUGGGUGAAGGAAGUUCUGAAACAUCCAUGCACGCAGCACUGAGACAGAUCGUUCUGGCAAGCCUCUCUGGGGCCUCCACAACUGAUGAUCCUUUUUCUUCAGUUGCUGGAGAGUCCAUUGCUUUUGGAAAUAGGAAGUUUCAAGAGAUCCUUCUGUCUCUCUUGCACCUCCACUAUCAAUAGGUGCUCCCAUAGCAAGGAUUUGGUUGCUGAUCCUCUCCCUAAGGCUUUUAUACAAGAAGGAGAUCGUCUGGAGAGCAAAUCGAGCAUGUAUUCGAGGAUCCAAUUCAGUUGCAGCAUGGAAAGCAGAUACGACCGUGUGUAUCUCAUCCAAGCAUUGGUUAUAUCGGUCAUCAACCUGAGUACAAAAUAGUAUGACGAUGAUGCCAAGUUAGUGCCCUGAAAUUAUGUUAGUCCAAACCAGCCAAAAUAGAAGUAUAAUGGUAGUGAAACCUGUGAAACCAAAUCCGCAAGGUAAGGAUGAUUGAACUUUUGAGUUGAUCAAUUGCAAUUUUGGUGUUAAAGAUUUUGAAUUGUUCAGUUUUGGCUUCUAUCCACUUAGCUAGUUUGACAUUGCACUAUGCAUAUUGUAUUGAUUGUAAUGAAGAGGGCACUUCAAGUUUUCAUUUAAAGAUAGUAUUAAUAAUUGAAUCAACAUACCACUUGAAGUAGAGUCAGCAAUUGUGUCUUCUUUGCUUCCAGUGCUCGUUUCUGCAGCGCUGGAUCCACUCGAACUUCAAAUCUACUAUCCACAUUAGGCGAUCCGUCAGGACCCAUCAGACACAUUCUUCCCUCCAUCGGAUAACUUGAACCAAAUGGUAUAUUUGCCCCAACCUUGAUCCCACUGGUUGAAAAACUCAACUGGUCUAGAUUCUCUAGUGAAUAACUUGCAAUUUGAGCAAGUAUUUCCUGUAUUACUUGAAGAUAUCUGGACCCUGAUAUUACUUGUGAGAAUUGACCAGCCCUGUAAGAACCACAUCUCAGAGAAGGCUCCUUACUGCUUGAAGAGGUUUGUUCUGAGCAUAACCCUGUUUCUUUCAAGCAAUGGCGUGUCACACCAGAACAACUUACCUCAGAGCACUGGUCUGGGACAUGAGACCCAUUUAUGGCAGAAGGCUGAGAUGUUGCUAGACUUAAAGAUAGCUCAUUACUAAAAUGGCCGGAACUGUAAGGAUUAUCAGUACUUACAUUCACACUAUUUGUAGAUAUCCAGCUAUUUGGUUCCAGAUUUCCCAUGGAUGAAUAGGAUUGGAACCCUGUUCUUAUAGGGGUUUUUCCACCAAGCUCUACGGGAGCAGGAAAUUGGUUAACACCCUCCUUAGCAUUCAUAUUACCAAAUACUUCAUCGCACCCAUAAUUUACAGAGGAAGCAAAUGAGGAGUUUAAACCAUUAGAGAAGUCAUUAGAAGCACAAGUUCUUAAAAUCUCCAAGGGAUACAUCGCAGGUUCUGAAAUUGCUAAGUUGGUCAGAUUUUCUUGAAGACCACUUCUUGAGGAUACAAGAGUAGGAAGUGCUGGACCAGAAAUGGGACUUCCACCCACAAAUUGUUCUUGAAACUCAGCGCCUCUCCUGACAUUACUUUCGAGAGAUGUAACUAAUACCUCCGAGUCAACAAUUACGGCUCGAUUAUCUGUAUGAAGAUCACUGAUAGGUGCUCCUCGCGACGUAUGAAGCACAGUGUAUCCAUCAAAUAUCUGAUUUUGGUUGUUGAGGUCAAAUGAAUCAAACUGGACAAUUGAGUUUGGGGUUAUCUGAGAUCCAAUUCCUUCCAUUACAAUGGAAUUCCUGCCAGCCAUAUCUACCGAAACACUAAACAAACGAUUCUCCAUCAUAUCACAUAGCAAGAAACAUAAAUAGCUUCAAAAUAAUCCAACUUCUCAUGCUUCAUUUGUAUAUUAAGCCAUUAUUUAUCUUCAGAACCUCAUUGUUCACUCCUUUGGAGACUUUACUCAGGAAAUACACUAGUUUACUUGCAGGGGGCUAUGCUCUGUUGUUCUAGUGGGUAAUCUUACAAGUCGUGGAUGAACUAAAUGUCAAGUAACAUCCACCUUCCAUUCAUUAGCUGAGGAGCUAUCAUCCACCAAUAGACGAUAUACAGCUGGGAAUCCAAAGUUUUGCAGCCAAACUUAGUGGAAAGUACCAUAAAGAGAGUCAAGAAUUUUGAUGCAGAAUCAUGAUAUUUCUCAAAGCAGAUACAUGAGAUAAUUUUUCCAUGAUUACACAACAAAGUGGUCUGUUUGUAUACUAAUUGACACUAUAUAUAGGCUUACUCAGAAAACCAAAGACAAGCUAUUUCAACAUCAACUUCCCAUGAAAUCAUUGGUCUCUCUUUCUCCAUGAAAGAGUAUAAUGAAAAGCUAGAAAACAGUGGCAACUUUUGUUUUCAUCUUUAACAAAAAAAGAUAAAGAUCAAGGUGGAAAAGCCAACAGGGAAUGCAUUCACACAGUGCAAGCGGCCAAAAAAAUAAUAAAGGAAGAAACAGAAAAAACUCGGAACACCAAAAAUGAAAAGUAGGUUAAUUUCCUUGCACGAUCAGAGAAGUGGUAUUAUCUCUCCAGGGACCCCAAAACUAAGAAACUGGUAUUCAGAUUUGCAGACCCCCUUCCCCAAGAUUUAAAGCUUCACAAACACAAAGGGGUCUUGCAAAUAAAGGACAACGAUCUCAUUAAACUCAUUAAUUGAAAGCAAGAAAGAGAGUGAAAAAAAAAGCCAAAAAAAGCUCUGCAGUGAAGUGGGAAAUGCAUGAAAUGGACCCAUUCAUUAAGACUUUAAGAGAGAGAAAGA